GAAAUGCGAUAACUAGUGUGAAUUGCAGAAUUCCGUGAAUCAUCGAGUCUUUGAACGCACAUUGCGCCCCCUGGUAUUCCGGGGGGCAUGCCUGUCCGAGCGUCAUUGCUGCCCAUCAAGCACGGCUUGUGUGUUGGGUCGUCGUCCCCUCUCCGGGGGGGACGGGCCCCAAAGGCAGCGGCGGCACCGCGUCCGAUCCUCGAGCGUAUGGGGCUUUGUCACCCGCUCUGUAGGCCCGGCCGGCGCUUGCCGAACGCAAAUCAAUCUUUUUCUAGGUUGACCUCGGAUCAGGUAGGGAUACCCGCUGAACUUAAGC
rnacentral:misc_RNA from 1 species